GGCGGCGUGCCUAAUACAUGCAAGUCGAACGAGUUCUGAUUAUUGAAAGGUGCUUGCAUCUUGAUUUAAUUUUGAACGAGUGGCGGACGGGUGAGUAACACGUGGGUAACCUGCCCUUAAGUGGGGGAUAACAUUUGGAAACAGAUGCUAAUACCGCAUAAAUCCAAAAACCGCAUGGUUCUUGGCUGAAAGAUGGCGUAAGCUAUCGCUUUUGGAUGGACCCGCGGCGUAUUAGCUAGUUGGUGAGGUAACGGCUCACCAAGGCAAUGAUACGUAGCCGAACUGAGAGGUUGAUCGGCCACAUUGGGACUGAGACACGGCCCAAACUCCUACGGGAGGCAGCAGUAGGGAAUCUUCCACAAUGGACGCAAGUCUGAUGGAGCAACGCCGCGUGAGUGAAGAAGGCUUUCGGGUCGUAAAACUCUGUUGUUGGAGAAGAAUGGUCGGCAGAGUAACUGUUGUCGGCGUGACGGUAUCCAACCAGAAAGCCACGGCUAACUACGUGCCAGCAGCCGCGGUAAUACGUAGGUGGCAAGCGUUAUCCGGAUUUAUUGGGCGUAAAGCGAGCGCAGGCGGUUUUUUAAGUCUGAUGUGAAAGCCCUCGGCUUAACCGAGGAAGUGCAUCGGAAACUGGGAAACUUGAGUGCAGAAGAGGACAGUGGAACUCCAUGUGUAGCGGUGAAAUGCGUAGAUAUAUGGAAGAACACCAGUGGCGAAGGCGGCUGUCUGGUCUGUAACUGACGCUGAGGCUCGAAAGCAUGGGUAGCGAACAGGAUUAGAUACCCUGGUAGUCCAUGCCGUAAACGAUGAAUGCUAGGUGUUGGAGGGUUUCCGCCCUUCAGUGCCGCAGCUAACGCAUUAAGCAUUCCGCCUGGGGAGUACGACCGCAAGGUUGAAACUCAAAGGAAUUGACGGGGGCCCGCACAAGCGGUGGAGCAUGUGGUUUAAUUCGAAGCAACGCGAAGAACCUUACCAGGUCUUGACAUCUUUUGAUCACCUGAGAGAUCAGGUUUCCCCUUCGGGGGCAAAAUGACAGGUGGUGCAUGGUUGUCGUCAGCUCGUGUCGUGAGAUGUUGGGUUAAGUCCCGCAACGAGCGCAACCCUUAUGACUAGUUGCCAGCAUUUAGUUGGGCACUCUAGUAAGACUGCCGGUGACAAACCGGAGGAAGGUGGGGAUGACGUCAAAUCAUCAUGCCCCUUAUGACCUGGGCUACACACGCGCUACAAUGGAUGGUACAACGAGUUGCGAGACCGCGAGGUCAAGCUAAUCUCUUAAAGCCAUUCUCAGUUCGGACUGUAGGCUGCAACUCGCCUACACGAAGUCGGAAUCGCUAGUAAUCGCGGAUCAGCACGCCGCGGUGAAUACGUUCCCGGGCCUUGUACACACCGCCCGUCACACCAUGAGAGUUUGUAACACCCGAAGCCGGUGGCGUAACCCUUUUAGGGAGCGAGCCGUCUAAGGUGGGACAAAUGAUUAGGGUGAAGUCAUAAC
rnacentral:rRNA from 1 species